rnacentral:rRNA from 1 species
GGAAUCGCCUUACUCUUMSGGAGGCAGCMGUGGGGAAUUUYGACARUGGGGGCAACCCUGAUCCAGCCAUGCCGCGUGAGWGAAGAARGSCCUUCGGGGUUGUAAAGCUCUUUCGGCCGGAACGAAAUCGYGUACGUGAAUMAYGUGCGUGGAUGACGSUACUGGAAGAAGAAGCACCGGCUAACUACGUGCCAGCAGCCGCGGUAAUACGUAGGGUGCGAGCGUUAAUCGGAAUUACUGGGCGUAAAGCGUGCGUAGGCGGUUUUGUAYGUCAGAUGUGAAAUCCCCGGGCUUAACCUGGGAACUGCGUUUGAAACUACAGAGCUAGAGUGUGGCAGAGGGGGGUGGAAUUCCACGUGUAGCAGUGAAAUGCGUAGAUAUGUGGAGGAACACCGAUGGCGAAGGCAACCCCCUGGGCCGAUACUGACGCUGAGGCACGAAAGCGUGGGGAGCAAACAGGAUUAGAUACCCUGGUAGUCCACGCCCUAAACUAUGUCAACUAGUUGUCGGGGAAGCAAUUCUUUGGUAACGAAGCUAACGCGUGAAGUUGACCGCCUGGGGAGUACGGUCGCAAGAUUAAAACUCAAAUGAAUUGACGG